UAAGAAUUAGUUAAAAUUUAACAGUAAAUUGUCUAUUUAAAAUUAAAUUCUUAA
rnacentral:tRNA from 1 species